ensembl:lncRNA
GCCGGCUUCCGGACCCUGACACGGUCCAACAAGCCCUUCUUCACCCGGGCUGAGUCGCUUCUUGUUUCUUGCCACCGAACCGUCCUUGACUAAGACACCUUACAACACAGCUGCUGGCUCGCCCCCGCCACCCACUCCCUCGUUCUUUUCUUCUCCCGGAAUCUGUUUUCCCGUUUCUAUUGAGACAGCCACGCUGCACACACAGGGCCUGAAUUUUCACUUGAACAAACGCUGCCUGGCCUGGGCCCAAAGAGGACAAGCAGCAACCCCGUGACUUGGCCACACAACAGAUGAUUCUAGCUGUGUUCUCCCAGAGGAAAUGAUUCGAUUGAAAGGUUGGGAGAGCAAGUCUGCCUUCAUCAACGAAGCCUUGGAAUCGUGAAUGAGUUUUACCUUCAAGAACUUUUUGUUUGCACACUGAAAUAUUUCACUUUGGAAACUGAGUGCUGAAUGUGAAGACCAGUCAGCAGCGUGCUGAUUUUCUAAUCCAAGUUGUCCCAGGUGUUAAAAGAUGUUGUAUGGUCCUACACCUGCAGCUGAUAUCUUCAUUCCAUUUCAAUUAGUCCUUUUGUG